UGGGGAAUAUUGCACAAUGGGCGCAAGCCUGAUGCAGCCAUGCCGCGUGUAUGAAGAAGGCCUUCGGGUUGUAAAGUACUUUCAGUCGGGAGGAAGGUGGUAAGGUUAAUAACCUUGGCAAUUGACGUUACCGACAGAAGAAGCACCGGCUAACUCCGUGCCAGCAGCCGCGGUAAUACGGAGGGUGCAAGCGGUAAUCGGAAUUACUGGGCGUAAAGCGCACGCAGGCGGUUGAUUGAGUCAGAUGUGAAAUCCCCGGGCUUAACCCGGGAAUUGCAUCUGAUACUGGUCAGCUAGAGUCUUGUAGAGGGGGGUAGAAUUCCAGGUGUAGCGGUGAAAUGCGUAGAGAUCUGGAGGAAUACCGGUGGCGAAGGCGGCCCCCUGGACGAAGACUGACGCUCAGGUGCGAAAGCGUGGGGAGCAAACAGG
rnacentral:rRNA from 1 species